rnacentral:rRNA from 1 species
UACGUAGGGAGCAAGCGUUGUCCGGAAUCAUUGGGCGUAAAGCGCGCGUAGGCGGCCCGAUAAGUCCGUUGUGAAAGUCAAAGGCUCAACCUUUGAAUGCCGAUGGAUACUGUCGGGCUAGAGUCCGGAAGAGGCGAGUGGAAUUCCUGGUGUAGCGGUGGAAUGCGCAGAUAUCAGGAGGAACACCGAUAGCGAAGGCAGCUCGCUGGGACGGUACUGACGCUAAGGCGCGAAAGCGUGGGGAGCGAACAGG